rnacentral:lncRNA from 1 species
AUAGAUCCCAUGUGUUUGAAUUUUAUCAUUCAAGAAAUUCAUGAAAGUCAAUAGAUAAUUCAUAUCAUUCCAUUCCAUGCUUACACUUUAGUUUGCAUAAAACACUUUUAGAAGUGAUUUAAAUUUGCAUCAAAGUCAUGGUCAUGGUAGAGAGGGAAUUCCGUUCGAGUUCGCUGGUCGAAGUCAUUUGAAGUGCUCCUAUGACUCGACGUGGUCGUUGUAUCUUGGGAGAUGAUUGCCGGAGAACCGUUAGCACCGAUGCGGGGCAAAUUCAUCUUAAGGAUAAAGUGUCCAACACUUGCCUCGGCCAAAAAUCCAUCACAUGCAUCUUCUCUCUUUAUUUUCUGAUUUCUGUUAAUUAUACUUUGAUUUCAGAAAAUUGAUUAAUCUGAUUUAUAUAUUUAUGCUGCAAGGUUUGAUCGUUCAAGAAUCGAAAGGGAAGAAUCCAUAUUCUUGAGUUCAGAAUCGGUAAAUUAUCAUUUCUCCUUGUUAAAUCCAAUUUUGGUAAGUUGGAUUACAUUUCGAUUUCAUGCAUAUAACCAGUAUGUUUAUUGUGAAUAUAAUAUGCACGAUAAUCGGUGUAAAUUCUCCAACAGGAAUAAAUUGGGGUGAAAGAUUUAAGAUAUUCAUAGGCAGAAAUUAGCUCUUUGAAUUGAAAUUUUUGAUUUUCAACUUCAACUUUGAAAAUCAGGUGAUGUAUUCUAAAGCACAAGUCUUAUACCAGCGUUUG